rnacentral:lncRNA from 1 species
UAAUCUCUGAUCAAUAUGCCCUUUUAUUUCAGGAAAAAUUGAGAUGUAAUAACCCAGAAGACCACAAGGCUCAGGCUGAGCUCUCAUGACACCAGCCUCAGUGACUAAAGAUCCCCCCAAAGAAAGAAGAAUGAAUGAAUAUUUUCCCUCAACCCCGAUUCUUACCUGGAACCCUGUUUUUCUCUUUUACUAUAAAAAUUCCACAUAAUUCUUCCCAAUGGAGGACACAGUCUUUAAGGCAUUAGUCUGCUGUGGCCUCCUUUGCCUGGCAAAGUAAUAAAAACAACCUUUUUCUCCUUCACCUAAAGCUCUGUCCCCAUGUUUCUAUUCAGCUUUGGUGGACAGAGGCUGAGUUUUGGCAAUAAGAGGAGGAGGGAAGGAGCUAGAGAAAGAAAUCUUCCUAGAGAAUUCUACCUACUAUUUGAAUCACAUAAAGGUACUAGGAGAAAUAAAUUUUAUAUUACCCCAGUAAGACACCAUGGGACUUAUGGUAUUAGAGUAAUUAGGCUAGAAAUUGUCAUUCUUCAUUUUGAAAACUCAUGGAAAGAAUGUUUGGAGGGUUUUCUAAUCAGUGAUAUAUGAUAUUUUGUUCAUGGUAAUGACAUUAUUCACAUACUUGGAUAAAAAUUAGGAGAUAUAUUCAAGUUACAUAGAGAAACCCUAAUUAAAAUAAAUUUACAGGAGUUCCUGUCAUAGCACAGUGGAAACAAAUCCAACUAGGAAAUAAGAGGUUGCGGGUUCGAUCCCUGACCUUGCUCAGUGGGUUAAGGAUCCGGCAUUGCCACAGGCUGUGGUGUAGGUCACAGAUGCGGCUCAGAUUCCAUGUUGCUGUUGCAGUGGUAUAGGCUGGCAGUUGUAGCUCCAACUGGACCCCUAGCCUGGGAAACACCAAAUGCCUUGGGUCUGGCCCUAAGAAACAAAAAAUUAAAAAAUAAAUAAACUUACAAAUUACUUUAAAAACAGUAAGAAGGUGGAGUUCCCAUCAUGGCUCAGAAGAAACGAAUCUGACUAGUAUCCAUGAGGAUGUGGGUUUGAUCCCUGGCCUCAUUCAGCGGGUUAAGGAUACAGUGUUGCCACAAGCUGUGGUGUAGGUCACAGACAAGACUCAGAUCCCACGUGGCUGUGGCUCUGGCAUAGGCAGGCGGCCACGGCUCCGAUUGGACCCCUAGCCUCGGAACCUUCAUAUGUCUUGGAUGUGGCCCUAAAAAUAAAAUAAUAAACAUAUAUAUAUACAUCUCCAUACAUUCUAUUUACAUGAUUCAUCUUGAUUACAAUAGUUACACAUACUCAUAUAUUUUGGUUAAAGAAUUUGCCACACAAGAUUUGGGAUCUUUCAGUGGUUUACACUUUUUUUUUUCCUUGGUUAUCAAUAAGACAGUGAUGUCCAUCUCUUAGGUAUUCUGAGACUCGGUUUCCAUAUAAAGAGACGGGAUCACCACCACCUCCUGACACCACCGAGCAAUUUUUUUUAACGACUAGAUAUCCUAUAAUUCAGUUUACUUCUGACACCACCUGCAGACAGCAUCAGAUCCCACAGGUUAAGGGUUCAGUCUUUGAAGGCUUAUGAGACUUCUAUUACCUAUACUUCUGAAUAUAGGCUGUAAACCAGAGGUUCCCAAGACCCCUUCCUCAAGUGAGGUUAAUUUGCUAGAAUAGGACCCAAAACUCAAGAAACCUGUUUACUCACUAGGUUAUGGGUUUAUUACAAAAAGAUACAACUCAGAAACAGCCAGAUGGGGAGUUUCUGUUGUGGCUCAGAGGUAAGGAACCAGACUAGUGACCGAGAAGACGUGAGUUUGAUCCAUGGCCUCGCUCAGUGGGUUAAAGAUCCAGUGUUGCCGUGAGCCAAGGUGUAGGUCACAGACACAGCUAGAAUCUGUUACUGCUGUGGCUGUGGCACAGGCCGGUUGCUGCUGCUCAAAUUCGACCCCUAGUCUGGGAACUUCCAUAUGCUAGAGUGCAUCCCUAAGGAGCCAAAAAUAAACAAACAGCCAGACCGAAAAGACUCACAGGGCAAGAUAUAAGGAAAGAACAAUGAGCUUUCAAUCCCCCUCCAGGCAUGACACUCUCCCAGAACCUUCGCGUGUUUGCUGACCUCUUCUCAGAACUCAGUCCUUCUGCAUUUUUAUCUAGGCAUUAUUACAUAGGCAUCGUUGAUUAACUCGGCUGUUGGCAACCGAUUCACCCUCCAGCCCAUUUCCCCUUCCACGAAUUGGAGGCAAGGGUACUGAAAAUUGCAACUCUCCAAUAAAGGUGAUCGGUUAUCCUGGCAAGCAGCCCCUAUCCUCAGUUACCAUCCAAAUGUCACUUCACUCAAAUAACAAAAGACACUUUCAUUAUCGUUAAAGCAAUUUUCACUUAGGAAAUUCCAAGAGUUUUAGGUUUGGAAUCAAGACCAAAUAUGUAUUUCUUACUAUAAAUCAUAAUAUAUUAUACCAUCCCUGCUCAUUUACAUUUUUUAAACAAAUUCACUAGCUCUUGCUUAAGAAUAUGUGCAUAAAGACCACACUGUGGCUUAAAUACUACAUGUAUUUGUAAACUUUUCCUACCCAUAACAACAACAUUUUUCUCAAAAGUAUUUUCCAAUCAAUUUAAUCACCCUAGAAGUGUACAAAUAAAUCCUUUGACAAAUAUUUUCUUGAGUGCCAUCGUUAAAAAACGUUAAACCUCUGUCACUUCAAUAAGCAAAGAUGUAUUUAAAAAAAUUGAUAUGUCCAUUUAAAUCAAAAUUUUAUUCCAUUCUUUAAAAGGAGGGCAAAAAAAAAAAAAUAGCAUAGUGCUAAAACUGUUUUUGUCUAUGCAAACAUGGGGAUUACCCAUAACUACCACAUAAUGCUUUAUACAAAAACUGCUUGGUUGGUGUAGCUAAGGUUUUAAGAUAUGAAGUGAAAAAAGCAUUUCCCUGGGCUCAGCAAAAGAUUUCUCAAAAAGCUUCACUAUGCCUUCCCAUCCAAGUUUUAAUUCUCUGGCAUGGAAUUCUCUGCCUGCAGGAAUUGUACGUCAACACUUUCUUCUUAGUGAGAAUCAGAAAUAAGAGAUCACCACUUAUAUAAUAGUUUGUAUUUGGAACUAUUUGUCACUGGUGCACUGAGCUGUGUCCCCCAAGUUCUCUGAAGACAUGUUGUAGCACAUUCUAUAUUCACAAAGUAAUGCUAUGCAGAUCCCACUGAAACUAAGUAGGGGAGGAUCUCAGUUCCCACUGAAAUGAAGUCAUUUUACAGAAACCAACUGUAACCAAAAUCUGUUUUAGAUUUUUAAGCAGUUUAUUUUUUUCUUUAAUGCCACUUCUGUGUCCUUCUAGGUUUAUUAUAUUGCAGAUGUUCUGUUGCCUUUGCCUUUUCAAUUAUAUUUCAGUUGAAAACAAAACAUUUAGGACAUGAACAUUUACCUGAUUUUCUUAUAUUAUUCCAUAAAAUAAUUUGUAAACUUCUCAACAUCAAUAAUUUCUUCCUAAUAUGGGUGAGAGAGUUUGUAAUUACCAUUGAAA